CCUACGGGAGGCAGCAGUGGGGAAUAUUGCACAAUGGGGGAAACCCUGAUGCAGCAACGCCGCGUGAGUGAAGAAGUCAUUCGUGUUGUAAAGCUCUAUCAGCAGGGAAGAAAAUGACGGUACCUGACUAAUAAGCCCCGGCUAACUACGUGCCAGCAGCCGCGGUAAUACGUAGGGGGCAAGCGUUAUCCGGAUUUACUGGGUGUAAAGCGAGCGUAGACGGCGACGCAAGUCUGAUGUGAAAUGCCAUAGCUCAACAAUAGAACUGCUUUGGAAACUGUGUGGCUAGAGUGCAGGAGAGGUAAGUGGAAUUCCUAGUGUAGCGGUGAAAUGCGUAGAUAUUAGGAGGAACACCAGUGGCGAAGGCGGCUUACUGGACUGUAACUGACGUUGAGGCUCGAAGGCGUGGGGAGCAAACAGGAUUAGAUACCCCGGUAGUC
rnacentral:rRNA from 1 species